CGGCAACGGAUAUCUCGGCUCUCGCAUCGAUGAAGAACGUAGCGAAAUGCGAUACUUGGUGUGAAUUGCAGAAUCCCGUGAACCAUCGAGUCUUUGAACGCAAGUUGCGCCCGAAGCCACCAGGCCGAGGGCACGCCUGCCUGGGCGUCACACGCCGUUGCCCCC
rnacentral:rRNA from 1 species